AACAAGGCCGAGGUUUUAGGUUCAAGACUGAAGCAAUGGAAUCUCUUGGCAGAGAGACCGUCAGAAAGACCUUCUUCCACUCUUUGGCCAGAUCCGUCAACUUAUGGGCGAUGACGAGUUUCUUUCUCUAUUGAAAGGAAAAGAAAAGGCUGCGUGGAUAUCAUUCAUGUCAGUAACAUCAAAGUUUCUUGGAAACAACAAAUCAUCAAACUACAAGGAAGUGGUUGAAGAACUACUCCAAGCCUACCAUCGUCUUGGAUGUAACAUGUCAUUAAAAAUUCAUUUCCUUGA